GGAUUCAUUCUCAGUUAAAAACUGUACAAGCCUUCAUGGGCGACACAACUAAUUGUCAUGUUUUUUAAUUUUUUGGCAACGGAUGCUCAAGGAGUUUUUGCCAGUCCCAUACAUAAUUCAAACGCCCAGGAACAUGGAACCACCUUCUUUCCUGCAGCGAAUAUAUUUUGAACUAUUUUGAACCACUGAGUUCUGUGGUUUGAUUUUACAUGGAAACAAAUAGAGUUGGGAGGACAAUAGGCUGCCCCUACUUUUUUCCCCCGACCCAUGGCUGAAUGUCAUGGAAUUCUUGUGGGUGGCUUCUCUCAUGUGUUGUGCCCUGCUCAAGACAUAAGGAAAGAUCUCAAGGUGCCUGGAGAUUUCCACUAAGGAUCCACUCAAGAUACAGAUGUUGUAGGCCUUCCGCCAACCCGACUCACGGGGCGAUGGUUAGCACGGGGCAAUUCCCAAGCAGCAAACCAGCAAGACCGUCUCCCGGUCUGAUAAAGCGGCUGCCGGCAGUGGGGCAGAUCAGGUCGUCCGGGCAAAGCGGAAGAUGGUGACGUGCUGAUGGUGGUAAGGCAUGCUUUGCCCAUAAGAGCCUUUCAGCUUCACCAUAGCUAAGAAACUGUCUCUUAUUAAUACCUUCCUCACAAAGGGGAAGAUAAAUAGGCUGAUUCUUUAGCUCUCUGUCAAUGACACAUCUUCAGAAAUCCACUGCUCAGUUAAGGGAAUGUGUGCAACCUUCUAAAAAAGAAACAACUAUUUUUGUUUGUUUGCAUGUUUGUUUGUUUUUGUUUGUGGAAAAAAACAUGAAUUUUAACCAUAUUUUAUAACCCCGGGUAAAUUAACAGAUGCACUCUUGGUUAAGUUAAGCUGCACAACCGGAACUCUCAAACAACCGGUACAAAAAAAAAAAUCAAAGAAAUAAUACUGCAUUCACCAAGUUGAAUAAUGCAAUAAACUGUGCUACAUUAAAUUAAGUUUGUCUUAAUUUGCCUUUAAUUAUUGUAUUAAUGCAGCUUGACACCACUUGAUCUGCCACAGCCCAAUUCUAUAGAAUCAUUGGUGUCGUAGUUUGAUAAGGCCUUUAGCUUUCUCUGCCUAAGUAUGCUGCUGCCUCAGUAAACUACAAUUUGCAGGACCUCAUAACAAUUGAGCCAUGGACAAAAUUAAAGUAGGUGCACUCUGGACUCCACAAACAAUGGAUCUAGACAAAGUUGUAUACCACAAUAAAAUGGUGCUACAUUAAGAUUAUCUGGGAUUUGUUUUUAAUUACUGUAUUAAUGAAAUUUGACACCACUUGAUCUGCCAACGUUCAAUACUAUGGGAGUUGUAUUUUGACAAGACCUUUGGCUUUUUGUGUCGAAGUGUGCUGCUGCCUCAGUAAACUACAAUUCCCAGGAUUCCAUAACAUUCAGCCAUGAGCAGAAAACAAGUAGGUAUAAACUAUUGUUCUCCCAACUCUUAUUUGUUUCCAUGUAAAAUAGUAUCACAGAACUUAGUAAAGUUAAGGGCCCUCUGGUGGCGCAAUGGGUUAAAGCGCUGAACUGCAGACCGAAAGGUUGGCAGUUUGAAUCCAGGAAGUGGGUGAGUUCCCACUGUUAGCCACAGCUUCUACCAACCUAGUAGCUCGAAAACAUGCAAAUGUGAGCAGAUCAAUAGGUACUGUCUUGGCGGGAAGGUAAUGGAGCUCCAUGCAUUCAUGCUGGCCACAGGACCUUGGAGGUCUCUACGGACAACGCCGGCUCUUUGGCUUAGAAAUGGAGAUGAGCACCACCCUCCAGAGUCGGAUACAAUGAGACUUAAUGUCAGGGGGAAACCUUUACCUUUACCUUUUUUGUGAAGUUAAAAAUACAUUGGUGGCAGGAAAAAAAAUAGUUUGAUGUUCCUGGCAGUUUGAAUUAUAUAUGGGACUGACAAACACUCCUUGAAGAUCCCUUGCCAAAAGAAAAAAAAGUAUGACAAUGUUUAGUGUCAGAAGCGAACCGAGGGUACAGAUGUAAUAUAUUUAAAAAACACAAAGUUAAAAAACUUGGCAUUAUAGUAAAUGUCCUUUGACCAGUAGCUGGCCACUUGGAGUGCCUCUGGUGUUGCCAUCAGGUCUUCCCUUGUGAAUGUGGCAGGGCUCAGGCUGCCUUGUAGUAAGUGGUCUGUGGUGUGCUCUUCUCCACACUCGCAUGUCGUGGACUCCACUUCGAAGCCCCAUUUCUUAAGGCAUCUCGUGCUGCCAGAGCACAGUCUGUUCAGCGCCUUCCAAGUCGCCCAGUAUUCUGUGAAGCGAUUUGCAGCAGUGUGUCAAUUCAUUGGGUUUAUACAUUUUUAACAAACAUGAACUGAGGGAAAAAACCCAUAUGCAAAGAAUACUCUGAAGUUAACAAACAAGAGAUCUGGGCCGAGUUGUAUAACUCUGGAGGUUGGUACUCAUCUCCAUUUCUAAGCCAAAGAGCCAGAGUUGUCCAUAGACACCUCCAAGGUCAUGUGGCCGGCAUGACUGCAUGGAGCACCA
rnacentral:lncRNA from 11 species